AUGCUUCCACACAAAAGUUUCAAGAGUCAUGCAUCAUUGCCUCAGAGUAACUAUCUACAUUACCCGCGGAAGGAGAGUGAAAAGGCCGUCUCUCAUGUCAAUCUUAUAUAUACACAGUCAGGCCAACUGAAAUUCCCUUCUGAAAGUCAAGUCUGUGAAGGUUCCCAUUCAACUGAGAUUCCUAUUCCUCAGGGAAAAGGUGCCAUGUGGCCUUCACCAUCAGAUCAUGAUAAAUGUACCCAUGGGAGCUUAGCCUGUGAAGGUACACAACAAACUGAGACACCCUCAACCCACGGAAAAGCUGCCAUCCAGCGGAUACCAUCAAGUCAAGGGAAAUUCACUAAUGAGGGUCCAGGCUAUGAAAACUCACAGUCCACUGAUUCUCCGAGCCUUCCCCACGGAAAAGCUACAGUCUGGCCCCCACCACCAAGCCGAGGAAACUUCUGGGAAGGCUCACAUCAAUCUGAGAGUGUUAUGCCUCGUGCAAAAGCCAUCAUUCAGAAGAUACCAUUAGGUAGAGGGAAAUGUAGUAGUGAGAAUAAAACCUGGGAAGACUCACAACCAAGUCAGAUUACCCUCUCCCAUGGAAAAGCUGGUGUCCGUCACCUAUCACUGGAGAGGGGGAAAUUCAGCCGUGAAAGUACAACGUGGGAAGGAUCCCAACCAAAUGAGACUCCACUCCCUCAGGGAAAAGCUGCCAUUCAGCACACACCAUUAAACCAAGGGAAAUUUACAUCUGAGAACACAGUCUGGGAAGGUGCACAACCACAUGAGAUCUCACUCUCCCAUGGAAAACCUGCUGACCAGCACCCAUCAUUGAUCCGAGGAAAGUUCAUCCAUGAGAAUCCAAUGUGGGGAACAUCAAAACCACCUGAGAUUCCCCUGUCCCAUGGGAAACCUAAUAUGCAGUUCCCACCAUUGGCUAGAGGAAAACUCAUUCGUGACAGUACAUUGUGGGAAGGUUCACAGCCAGCUAAGACAACCCUAACUCGUAGAAAAGCUGCACUCUGGCCCCCACCAUCAAACAGAAGUAAAUUCUCCUAUGAAAGUCCAACAGGUUCACAUUCAACUGAGGUUUUCCAUUACCAUGGGAAAUCUAUUGUUUGGCCCCCUCCUCCAAGUCGAGGAAAACUCCUCAUUGAGAAUCCAGGGUGGAAAAGAACACAGAUAGGUGAGACCCCCAUCUCUUAUAGAAAAAACACAGUACAACCUCCAGCAUCAGGUCGAGGGAAAUUCACAAAUGAUCGUCCAGUCUGGAAAGGUUCACAAUCAUCUGAGACUUCCCAGCCUCCUAGAAAAGCUGUUGUUUGGCCCCCACGUUUAGGCCAAGAGAAAUUCAGUAGUAAGAGUUCAGGGAGGGAGGAUUCACAACCAAGUAAGACUUCCCAGCCCUCAGGAAAAAUUUCUGCUUGGCCCCCACCAUCAGGUCAAGGGAAGUUCAACUGUGAGGAUCCUGAUUGGGAAGGUCCACAACCAACUGAGACUCCCCAUCCUCAUGGAAAAGCAACAGUCACACCCCUACCUUCAAGCCGAAGAAAAUUUACAUCUGAGAACUCGGGCCAUGAGAGUUCACAACCAGUUGAAAUUAUCCUCUCUCAUAAAAAGCCUAUAAUCUGGCCCCCACCAUCAAACCGAGGGAAAUUCAACUGGGAGAAUGUAGCUAGUGAAGGUUCAAAACCAAUCACAGCUUCAAAUGUCCAAGGAAAGUCUACCACCCUCCUAUCAUCAUUAGGCCGAGGAAAAUCAUCCAAUGACCAUUCCAUGCAGGAAGGCUCACAAUCAGGUGAAACUCCCCUUACUGGAAAAAAUGUAAGAAGUUCCUCAUUAGGCAGAGAGAAAUUCACCUGUGAUAGUCCAGAGCGGAAAAGUUCACAAAGUGUUGGGGCUACCUAUCCUUUUGGGAAAACUGACAACAAACGUCCUCAAUUAGGCAGAGGAAAAUUACUUUUUGAGAAACUUCUAAGGGAAGGUUCACAAACAUCUGAAACUCUUCAUGGAAAAUCUACCCUCCAACACUCACCGUCCUAUCUAGAGAAAUUUACACAUGGUAAAUUGCUUUGGGAAAGUUCACAAGUAGCUGAGACUUCCUUAACUUUUAGAAAAGCUACUGGCAAUCGUUCCCCAUCAUGUCUAGGGAAAUUUACUUAUGAUAAAUCAGUUUGGGAAGGUUCCAAACCUACUGAAAUUCCACUCCGUAGUGGAAAAGGAACUGUCUGGCCCCCACCAGCAGGCCAAGGAAAAUUGACGUGUGAAGUUCCAUUAUGGGAGGGCUCAGAAUCACCAGAGACUUCCCAUUCCUUUGGAAAAACUGCCACCCAAGGGAAUUUCACCUGUGAAAGUUCAGGCAAGGAAGGUUCACAAAAUGCUGAGAUAUCCUACCCCUUUGGAAAACCAGCCAUUCGACUCCCACAGUCAGAGAAAGGGAAGUUAACUUAUGAUAAUCCUGAAUGUGACCGGGCACAACCAACUGAGACUUCUCUCCCUCAUGGAAAAACUAUCAUUCAACAAACAUCAUCUUGCAGUGGGAAAUUUACCUAUGAGAACCAAGCCUGGGAAGAGGCACAAUCAGAUAAGAAUCGCAUCUCCAACAGAAAAACAGCAAGCUGGCCCCCACCAGCAGGGAGAGGAAAAUUCUCCUGUGACAAUUCAGGCUGGGAUGAUUCCCAAGCAGUUGGUAAUACCUAUCCUCAUGUAAAAAUGACUCUCCAUCCCCAACCAGUAGGUAUAGGGAAAUGCACAAAUGACAACCUAGGCUGGGAAGGUUCACAGCCAGCUGAAUCUCCCCUUCCCCAUGGAAAAUCUGCUGUCCAGCCCAUACCAGCAGGACGAGGGAAAUUCACCUGUAAGAGUUCAGUCUGGGAGAAUUCCCAGUCAACCUAUAAUCCUCCUUCUCAUGGAAAAGUUGGAGUUCAGCACUCAGCAUUGGUCCAAGGAAAAUUCCGCAGUGAAAGUGCAAUCUGGGUAAACUCACAACAACCUGAGGCUCCUCCACUUCAUGGAAAAGCUGCCGUUUGGCCCCCACAAUCGUCACAUAAGAAACUCACUUCUGGUAGUCCAGUCUGGGAAGGUCCACAACCAGCUGAGACACCUCACCCUUUUGGAAAAGUUGCUUUGCAGGCUCUACCUUCAGAUGGGAGGAAAUUUGCCUGUGAACAUACAGCUUGGGAAAGCUCACCAGUAGCAGAAGCCCUUCUAUCACAAGGAAAAUCUGCCUUGCGGCCUAUACCAUCAAGCCAAAAGAAAUUGUCCAGUGAGAUUCAAGUCUGGGAAAGCCUUCCAUCCACAAAAGCAUUCUAA
ensembl:lncRNA